rnacentral:snoRNA from 1 species
UUUGGCAAGUGAUGCCUGAUCUUAUCCUACACACCGAAUCGUCUGUGUCGAUUAUCGAUCUCAUCUUUUAUUAUCUGAUGCCAUG